GUUGUACUUUACAAUUGAAAAGUGCGAUAUUUUGUUCAAAUUAAAAGUAAAAUUGUAUACCGCAAAAGUUAGUUUAUCAUUCUAAAAGUAUGUUUUAUCAGCUCUGUUAAUGUAUUUAAAAGUUCACACUUUCACUGUUAAAACUGUAAAACUGUCAAAUCGCACUAUAAAACAUUCAGUAAAAGGCAUUAGAUUAGGGCACCCCAAGAAAAAAUAAAAACAUUUUUAUUUAAAUUAAUAGAUUUUCAGUUUUAAAACAUUUCGAAAAACAUGGUGAAAAACACUUCAAAGUAUUACAAAAUGGGAUCUAAUCUUUAUUGAAUUAUCUAAACCUGAGAAGAAGGCUUUAGAAAUAAGCAUCACGCUUCUUAAAAGUGAAAUGCAAUUCUAGUAUGCCAAAAUGUCAGAAUCAUUUCUUACAGUGUAUUCCGCAGUCAAAAGUUUUUCCCGCACCCGGUCUUCUCGGAAUGAUCCGUCGCGAGUGGCAAUCGUCCGAAAACAGUUAAAAACGUCGCAUUCCGAACAGCUUAAGUGCUUCUGAAGAACGGAUACUAUAUAUUUAUUUACAUCAUCAGGCCACUGGCUGACAAAGAACCGUUGAAGACAAGGCGGUUCACCCAAAGGGGCCUUUACUAAUCCGAUAGGAGCAAUGGACAUUCAUAUGACGACACUGUGGAAGCCGAGAAACAGAUCCAAAAUGCCGACUAAAUCGUUUAACCAGAUGUUUUAUCGACGAAGGAGCAGACUAUGUGGCCAAUUAUGAAUUAUCAAUGUGCAAAUGAACACAAGUUGAAAAUGAAAUAAAAAUAAACAUAUUUUCCAUGACAUAAAAA